rnacentral:rRNA from 1 species
CAGCAGCCGCGGGAAUACGUAGGGUGCGAGCGUUAAUCGGAAUUACUGGGUGUAAAGCGUGCGCAGGCGGUUGUGUAAGACAGGUGUGAAAUCCCCGGGCUUAACCUGGGAACUGCGCUUGUGACUGCACAGCUAGAGUAUGGCAGAGGGGGGUGGAAUUCCACGUGUAGCAGUGAAAUGCGUAGAGAUGUGGAGGAACGCCGAUGGCGAAGGCAGCCCCCUGGGCCAAUACUGACGUUCAUGCACGAAAGCGUGGGGAGCAAACAGGAUUAGAUACCCCGGUAGUCCCUGUCUCUUAUAC